GUUGUCUUGUGAGAGAGAGCUGAACAGACUGCGUGAAGAUACUCCACUGCUGUACCUUAUGACAACAGCAGGAUCGAAUACAGAGAAGAAAGCUUUUGAAACUUCUCAGCAUGGAUUGUGUGAAGGAGAUCAGUGUGUCAGCCUUGGAUGCAGAUGUUCUGCUAAGAGAGAAAGUGAGGCUUAGUCGAGAUGGCCUGCUCGAUCCUGUGCUCAGGACCAACCUGGACUUUGCGAUAGGAGCUGUUGAUGCGAUUCCUUCAGUGAUGAAGAAUAAUGCCGAAAUCCAUGUGGAGGGGGAACACCUGUUGAUCAUCUUCAGAGCUGGUUUGUCUGGGUUGAUGUUUGCUUUUAAAGCUCUGUCCUGCAUUAACAUGACAUCCACACUGACAUUUGAGUUUCAGCCAGACACCGAGGGCAUUCUGUCCGUGAAGAGUGAGCUGAAAGAAAAGGAUUGUGAGGACAAGGUUCUCCUCUCCAACCUGGAUUAUGCUGAGAGCAUCUUCAGGAACAGUCUGCUCAGCAGUUCCAUGAGACUGGUGGUUGUAGGAGAAUGGCAGUGCGUCCGAAUUGGCACUGCUGAUGACCUCAUCUACACCGUAGUAUUAAAAGGUGGCCAUGUUCACCUGGACAGCUACAUCUACUGUUGUGACUACAUCGACGAGUCAGACAUCAAGAGCAUCCACUUCAGCAUGCAUUGCUGCCAAAACGAAGCCAAAUCCUGUUUCCAACAAGCUAAACAAGCAGCUAAGGCAAGUAAAGUACAAGCGCUGAAGGUUGUGUGCAACAGGUUUUCGGUCUUGUACACUUCCACAAAUUCACCAGAGAAGAUUGUGACAAUCAAAACCAAAUGCGAGUUUACGUUUUCUUUCAUAACAGUCGAAGGACUACUUAAAAGAAAGUGCUGGAUGGAGAAAGAGAUGGCCAACCGUAAAGUUCUGCUCGCAGGUAUUGAACAUCUUAUUAAGAUGUUUCUCACUUUGCCGAAUCCUCCAAAGCAUAAUUGCAAGUUCAUUAUACAGGGAGAUGGAGAAAUGAUUGAAAUUUCAACCAGCAACAAAUCUCAGGAAUACAUUAUACUAAUGGACAGUGAGAGCCAAAAGGUCUCAAUGUAUCCAUCAUCAUGGUACAAAAGCUGAGAAGACUGGCUACUGGACAUGUGACACCUACAAACACUGAACUGAACAUUCUCAACUGUACAUCACUGCUAUACAGAUGUUUGUACACACCCUUUCUCAUUCAAUUUGUUUAUGCAUUUAUAAUUUCCACAUUGUAGAUUAAUAUUAAAGACAUUGUACCUAUGAAGGAAUGCAUAUGCGAUUAGGAAGAAAACAAAAAAGUAUUAAACAAUCUAAAAUCUAAAAAAUGUUUUAUGCUUUAGAUUCUUCAAAGUACCACCUUCUGCUUAGAUGCCAACUGAUUCUCUCAGUCAGUUUUUUGAGGUAGAACCUGGAAUGGUUCUUUAACUGUCUUUAAUGGGCGGCACGGUGGCUUAGUGGUUAGCACGUUCGCC
rnacentral:lncRNA from 1 species